CUGGGCCAUCGCCAAGCGGUAAGGCACAGGACUUUGACUCCUGCAUUCCACGGGUUCGAAUCCCGUUGGCCCAGG
rnacentral:tRNA from 1 species